rnacentral:rRNA from 1 species
CGAGUUUGAUCCUGGCUCAGGAUGAACGCUAGCGGCAGGCUUAACACAUGCAAGUCGUGGGCAGCGCGGGUAGCAAUACCUGGCGGCGACCGGCAAACGGGUGCGGAACACGUACGCAACCUUCCUCAGAGCGGGGAAUAGCCUCUCGAAAGAGAGAUUAAUACCCCAUAGUAUCCCGAAAUCACAUGGUUUUGGGAUUAAAGCUCCGGCACUUUGAGAUGGGCGUGCGGCUGAUUAGGUAGUUGGUAGGGUAACGGCCUACCAAGCCGACGAUCAGUAGCUGAUGUGAGAGCAUGAUCAGCCACACGGGCACUGAGACACGGGCCCGACUCCUACGGGAGGCAGCAGUGAGGAAUAUUGGUCAAUGGACGCAAGUCUGAACCAGCCAUGCCGCGUGGAGGAUGAAGGUCCUCUGGAUUGUAAACUCCUUUUAUAAAAGAAGAAACCCACGUUUUCUAAUGUGGUUGACGGUACUUUAUGAAUAAGCACCGGCUAACUCCGUG